rnacentral:rRNA from 1 species
CGACCUCAAAUCAGGUAGGAAUACCCGCUGAACUUAAGCAUAUCAAUAAGCGGAGGAAAAGAAAAUAACAAUGAUUCCCCCAGUAACGGCGAGUGAAGAGGGAAUAGCUCAAAUUUUAAAUCUAUUAGGUUUUACCUAGUCGAGUUGUAAUUUGAAGAAGCGUUUUCCGUGUUUUCAAUUAACUCAAAUCCUUUGGGAUAAGGUAUCAUGGAGGGUGAGAAUCCUGUCCGGUUAAUUUGAGACACNNACGAUACGCUUUCUAAGAGUCGAGUUGUUUGGGAUUGCAGCUCAAAAUGGGAGGUAAAUUUCUCCUAAGGCUAAAUAAAGGCGAGAGACCGAUAGCGAACAAGUACCGUGAGGGAAAGAUGAAAAGAACUUUGAAAAGAGAGUUGAAUAGUACGUGAAAUUGUUGAAAGGGAAACGAUUAAAGUCAGUCAUACUGAUGGGAAAUCAACUUCUCGAGCGUGGUUUAGUGGGAUCAAAGUGCCUUUGUUCUCGCGAUAUCUGCGUUCUUUUGGCGCACUUUCUUUAUUGUAGGUUAGCAUCGGUUUUGAUCGUCAUAAAAUGACUGGAGGAAUGUGGCUUCGACUUCGGUUGAAGUGUUAUAAACUCUGGUAGACGUAAUGGUUGAGACCGAGGAUUGCAACGGAUGCCCUUAAGGGCUAUCCGCCUGGCCUCUAAUUGUCACUUUGGCUUCGAAAGCUUGCUUACGAUGUUAAAGUGUGCGGUCAAUAGGUUAGAUCGGAUUAAAUUCGUUAAGGAUGCUGACGUAAUGGCUUUAAACGACCCGUCUUGAAACACGGACCAAGGAGUCUAACAUGUAUGCGAGUGUU